GGCGAUAUGGUCGAGUUGUAAGGCAAGGGACUCGCAAAUCCUUUUUCCCCGGUUCAAAUGCGGGUGUUGCACG